rnacentral:rRNA from 1 species
UACAGAGACUGCAAGCGUUGUUCGGAUUCACUGGGCGUAAAGGGUGCGUAGGCGGUCGGGUAAGUCUGACGUGAAAUCUUCAAGCUCAACUUGGAAACUGCGUCGGAUACUAUUCGGCUAGAGGAAUGGAGGGGAGACUGGAAUACUUGGUGUAGCAGUGAAAUGCGUAGAUAUCAAGUGGAACACCAGUGGCGAAGGCGAGUCUCUGGACAUUUCCUGACGCUGAGGCACGAAAGCCAGGGGAGCAAACGGG